UUACGGGAAGGAAGGGAGACUGUGCGCAUGCGUGGGCCCUCCCUGCGCGAACUCCGGUUACCUUGGAGACGGCAAGGCGCUCUCCCUCCCCGGCCUCGGGCUGCUUCCUCUCCUCGGCGGAGGCGAGGGUAGGGGGUUAGGAAUGCUGUUCCCGACCACCACAGACCCCCUGAGGGCGAGGGAGAGGGUCACAGUGGUCCCUCGAAAAGCGUCGGGGCCCCGGGGUCCACGCGGAGCGGACCGUACAUGCGGCCGGCCGAGCGCGGACGAGACCCGGGAUUUGGACAGAGGCCGCUGUCGCAGUGCUCCGACCUGGUGGGGACAGGAGGGGAGGGAAGGCGGAGAGCCUUUCCGGCCUUUGCUGAGAUAGGUGUGUUCCUACCCUGGCUCCCCGAUUCCAUCAGGGUCCCCGCAGGCGGGCAUGGGUGAAUCUCCAGAGAGAGGGUCUGCCCAGGACCACUUGGCAGGACCCCCCACUCCAGGCCUCUCUCUGGAGACAGGGUCUUGCUAUGUAGUCCAGGUUGGCCUUGAACUCACUGUUGUAGCCCUGGCUGGUCUUGAACUUGGGAUCCUCCUGCUUCACCCUCCCAGGUGCUGGCAUGACAGACAAGGCAUGGCUUCUAUAGAGCCUGUGCUUCCGAGCCGGGCAGACUCUGGGGGUCGUGCUGGUUGCCAGUGGCCUGCUGGGAGGUGGAGCCAAGAGACAGGUAGAGCUGGGCCCCCAGAGCUGGUUCACCACAGGGUUUUGCACUGCAGUGACUCAGGCAGAGUCAGAGUUGAGCCAGCUGUGCAGCCUUCCUUCCUGAGGACCCCUGUGUCUCCAGCUUCCCUGGACAUUCCUCUGGUCCCUACUCUCUCGAGUGGCCCAGCUGCCCCAUCGGGACCAUCCACCUCUACACCUGUGCACUACUAGCACUGAUGUGCAGUGACAAAGGGAACUCUGUCGACCCAGCCCCAGCGCUGCAGCUCUGGAGAAGGAAUUUCAGAUAAAGGAAGUUAUAUUCUGGCUCUUACUGCCUCAGUCAGCUGGCCCAUGAUAUGCAGCCGUGUCCAGUGAGAAAGUGACCAGUAAAUCAUCUAAGUGCCUCAAGGUCCUGGGGCCUACAUUCCUGUGAGACCCUGUGUUGGGAAGAGCACGGGGUUGCCUCCCCACCCCGGUGUCCUCUCCACAUCAUCCUCAACUCUGCUGGAGGAUUUAGUCCGCCUGAGAGAUUGUUCAGGUCAUGCUGUCCCAGCACCUCUUGCCCUCCAGCAUGUCCCUCCUUUAGUUUUUGUCGUCUUCGUCACUCUUGUUCCUCCUGCCGUGGCCGCCCUGGAUCACAGGUGUGUGCCCCACGUCCAACUCUGUCUGUUCCUCUGUUAGGUUCUUCCUUUUGGCUCUGGGGAGGGAGCACAGAGCCUGCAGCCCAGAGCGAGCUUCCAGUCUGGCAGGCGGGUUGAGCUGGAGUGGACUGCAAACAGGACUGCGUCAUCCCGAGGGCGGCCAGGGCGGUGCAAGGCGGGAUGGAGUGUGCUGGGCCAGGCCGGAGCCAGCCAGGGCAGCAGACCCGCUCAGAGCUUUCAGACAGAACCAGCUGCCGGGAGCAGGUGCCCAGUUUCAGCCGUGAGCCUCCUGCUUCUCCACACUCUCAGCUCGGAGUUCUGAUACACUCUUGGCUUCGCAGAGUCACUCAACAAACGUCUAUUGAGCACCUACUGUGUGCCAGGCGUUGCGUAGGCCCUGGUGACACAGGUGAGCAAGUCUGAGGCCAGCCCUCCACGGGGGGACAGACAAGGAUUCAAGGCAGCUUGGCGGGCAGAGGGACCCCUGGGAGAGGUGAGAACACAUAGAAGAGGUCCUGGGGCCUUCCCGGAGGAGGUGACAUGUGAAUGCAUGGCUGCCAGGUACACAGCAGUAAGCUGCUGUAGGAGGUGGAAAGCAUUCUGGCAGAAAGAAUCACACGUCCAAAGGCAUGGACACGGGGCAGUCAUGGUUUGGGAGCCAGGCGUGGUGGCACACAGCUAUAAACCCAGCUAUUUGGGAGGCUGAGGUAGGAGAAUCAAAUUUGAGGAUAAACUGGGCAAGUUAGCAAGACUGUGUCCCAAAAUUAAAAAAAAAAUUUGGAAAGGGCUGGGGAUGUAGCUCAUGGUAGGGUGCUGGCAGUAUAACAAUACUAGUACUAACCCUAGGGGACCUGGGCCUGAGGUGCAAGGACUUGCAUCCUGAGCUCCACACCAGGAUUUCCCCGGCCCACAGUGCGCGUCCCUUCCUCUCCGCCAGCCCCCCGUGCUUCCUGCGUGCUCUGCAUGAAGGACCUCAUGCCAGUGUCCAUCCCUCUUCUUGCAGUGUCCAGAGUCAUGCUGCCUCCAUCCUCACAUUCCCGGUGGCGGGCUCCCCUGGGUCCCCCCUUCCUGCUGAUGUCUCAUGAGCACUCGCUCUUCCCCUUGCUUCCUCUUGUUUCCCCGAGUCCUUUGUACACUGCCUGUCCUUGCUCAGAACUCCAUGGAGCCCUAGAGAUGCCCAGAGGUGGAGUCCAGGCCCGGGCUCUGUGCGAAGGCCUCCCAGUCCAGCCCAGCUCAGCUCUGCUCCGUAUGAUUCCUCGAAGAGUCCCUGGGGCGCUGUUGUGGUGCUUACCCUGCCCUACCCAGUGGGUGCUGGGCACGCAGAUGUACUCUUUGGCUUUGACCUAUCAGUUCACACCCUUCUCCCCCGCGCUAGGGCAGGGUAUCGAACUAAGCUACAUCCUCAGCUUUUAAAAAUUUUUUUUUGGUACCUGGGAUCGAACUCAGGACCUUCCUUGUAAGGCCGUUGGUGGUACCACUGAGCUAAAUCCCUGGGCCUCUUUUCUUAUUUUUAAUUUUUGAGACAGGGUCUUGCUAAGCCACUGAGUUGCCCAGGCUGGGCUUGAAUUUGUGAUCCUCCUGCUUCAGCCUCCCAGAGUGCUGGGAUGACAGGUGUGCACCACCAUGCCCGGCAAAUCGCACCUAUCCUAGUCCCUGAUGAAAUGCCUUCUCUCCAGGGGUCAUGUUUCCCAGCUGUUUAGCCCCCCCCCCCAUACAGAGGCACACACCUGGACAGAGCUCAUCAUCACCAGAGGGCUCCAGAGCAAUCCAUUUGAAAACUUUCCCUCAGAUCAAGAACUUGCUAUGGCUCCUUGUGUCAGCCACUUCAGAAACCUGUUCCUAGUAGGUUCCCAGCUGCACUCCUAGGUGUCGAGCUCCCCUACUGUAGCCCAGAAUGCGGCCCGUGUUCACCUUCCACCGUAUGCUGGAAGUGAGCCAACUCCCAGGGGAGGGAAGCUCUGUGACUGGGAGCAGUGCAGUGCGUGCUGGGAAGAGCCUCCUGCUCACAGGACCUCCACCUCUCCUUUAGGGUCAGAAGUGACUUUCUUCUCAGUAGUGACUUGGUUUGGAAUGUGCCCCUGGCUCCCUGGCAGCUUGGGCAGCAGAGGGCACGUUUGGCCGGUGAGCUAGAUGGACCAGGAUGCCUGUGGCUCUGUCCCCUGGGCGGCCACCCCAGCUGCCAUGCGCCCGCCCCUUGCUCUGUGACCUGUGCCCUUCCUCUGCCUGCGUGUGGACCAGCGUGUGGACCAGUGGCUGAGCCUGAGAGGGAGCACCUGGUGGAGGGACCCGCCCCUGCCGUCUUGACAGAGGACACAGCCACACUCUGCCAGCCCUGCCACUGCCGGCGGCCACUCCCUCACAGCCCAGCCUGGUCCUUGGCAGCCUCACCCCUUCUCAAGCCUUGUCUUAGCCAGCAGCCACCUCCCCUUCCAGCCCCCCAACCCCCAUGAUCCUUUAAAGGACCCCAGAGCCCCGAGGAGAGCAUCCCGUUUGGUCUCAGCGCCACAGCAGCCCACUCAGGUUUGUUCUGAAAUAAACCUGUCCUGUCGA